rnacentral:rRNA from 1 species
GAUGAACGCUGGCGGCGUGCCUAAUACAUGCAAGUCGAGCGAACGGACGAGAAGCUUGCUUCUCUGAUGUUAGCGGCGGACGGGUGAGUAACACGUGGAUAACCUACCUAUAAGACUGGGAUAACUUCGGGAAACCGGAGCUAAUACCGGAUAAUAUUUUGAACCGCAUGGUUCAAAAGUGAAAGACGGUCUUGCUGUCACUUAUAGAUGGAUCCGCGCUGCAUUAGCUAGUUGGUAAGGUAACGGCUUACCAAGGCAACGAUGCAUAGCCGACCUGAGAGGGUGAUCGGCCACACUGGAACUGAGACACGGUCCAGACUCCUACGGGAGGCAGCAGUAGGGAAUCUUCCGCAAUGGGCGAAAGCCUGACGGAGCAACGCCGCGUGAGUGAUGAAGGUCUUCGGAUCGUAAAACUCUGCUAUUAGGGAAGAACAUAUGUGUAAGUAACUGUGCACAUCUUGACGGUACCUAAUCAGAAAGCCACGGCUAACUACGUGCCAGCAGCCGCGGUAAUACGUAGGUGGCAAGCGUUAUCCGGAAUUAUUGGGCGUAAAGCGCGCGUAGGCGGUUUUUUAAGUCUGAUGUGAAAGCCCACGGCUCAACCGUGGAGGGUCAUUGGAAACUGGAAAACUUGAGUGCAGAAGAGGAAAGUGGAAUUCCAUGUGUAGCGGUGAAAUGCGCAGAGAUAUGGAGGAACACCAGUGGCGAAGGCGACUUUCUGGUCUGUAACUGACGCUGAUGUGCGAAAGCGUGGGGAUCAAACAGGAUUAGAUACCCUGGUAGUCCACGCCGUAAACGAUGAGUGCUAAGUGUUAGGGGGUUUCCGCCCCUUAGUGCUGCAGCUAACGCAUUAAGCACUCCGCCUGGGGAGUACGACCGCAAGGUUGAAACUCAAAGGAAUUGACGGGGACCCGCACAAGCGGUGGAGCAUGUGGUUUAAUUCGAAGCAACGCGAAGAACCUUACCAAAUCUUGACAUCCUUUGACAACUCUAGAGAUAGAGCCUUCCCCUUCGGGGGACAAAGUGACAGGUGGUGCAUGGUUGUCGUCAGCUCGUGUCGUGAGAUGUUGGGUUAAGUCCCGCAACGAGCGCAACCCUUAAGCUUAGUUGCCAUCAUUAAGUUGGGCACUCUAAGUUGACUGCCGGUGACAAACCGGAGGAAGGUGGGGAUGACGUCAAAUCAUCAUGCCCCUUAUGAUUUGGGCUACACACGUGCUACAAUGGACAAUACAAAGGGCAGCGAAACCGCGAGGUCAAGCAAAUCCCAUAAAGUUGUUCUCAGUUCGGAUUGUAGUCUGCAACUCGACUACAUGAAGCUGGAAUCGCUAGUAAUCGUAGAUCAGCAUGCUACGGUGAAUACGUUCCCGGGUCU